GGGGAAUUUUGGACAAUGGGGGCAACCCUGAUCCAGCCAUCCCGCGUGUGCGAUGAAGGCCUUCGGGUUGUAAAGCACUUUUGGCAGGGAAGAAAAGGCGCAGGCUAAUACCCUGUGCUGCUGACGGUACCUGCAGAAUAAGCACCGGCUAACUACGUGCCAGCAGCCGCGGUAAUACGUAGGGUGCAAGCGUUAAUCGGAAUUACUGGGCGUAAAGCGUGCGUCGGCGGUUUGGCAAGAAAGGUGUGAAAUCCCAGAGCUUAACUUUGGAACUGCACUUUUAACUGCCAGGCUAGAGUAUGUCAGAGGGGGGUAGAAUUCCGCGUGUAGCAGUGAAAUGCGUAGAGAUGCGGAGGAAUACCGAUGGCGAAGGCAGCCCCCUGGGAUAAUACUGACGCUCAGGCACGAAAGCGUGGGGAGCAAAC
rnacentral:rRNA from 1 species